rnacentral:rRNA from 1 species
UACGGGGGGGGUAAGCGUUGUUCGGAAUUACUGGGCGUAAAGGGCUCGUAGGCGGCCAACUAAGUCAGACGUGAAAAUCCCUCAGCUUAACUGGGGAACUGCGUCUGAUACUGGAUGGCUUGGAUUCGGGAGAGGAAUGCGGAAUUCCAGGUGUAGCGGUGAAAUGCGUAGAUAUCAGGAGGAACACCGAUGGCGAAGGCAGGUCUCUGGGCCAUUACUGACACUGAGGAGCGAAAGCGUGGGGAGCGAACAGG